rnacentral:rRNA from 1 species
AAAGGCGUAAUGAAAGUGAAGGUCCGCCUUGCGCGGACCGAGGGAGGAUGGGUGGUCCCGAGGGGCCGCCUCGCACUCCCCGGGCGUCUCGUUCUCAUCGCGAGAAGAGGCGCACCCAGAGCGUACACGCUGGGACCCGAAAGAUGGUGAACUAUGCCUGGUCAGGACGAAGUCAGGGGAAACCCUGAUGGAGGUCCGUAGCGAUUCUGACGUGCAAAUCGAUCGUCGGAACUGGGUAUAGGGGCGAAAGACUAAUCGAACCAUCUAGUAGCUGGUUCCCUCCGAAGUUUCCCUCAGGAUAGCUGGCGCUCGCUUCUCGCGAGUCUCAUUCGGUAAAGCGAAUGAUUAGAGGCAUUGGGGUCGAAACGGCCUCAACCUAUUCUCAAACUUUAAAUGGGUGAGAUCUCCGGCUUGCUUGAACUGUGAAGCCGCGAGAUAUCGGAUCAGAGUGCCAAGUGGGCCACUUUUGGUAAGCAGAACUGGCGCUGUGGGAUGAACCAAACGCUGAGUUAAAGCGCCUAAAUCGACGCUUAUGGGA